rnacentral:rRNA from 1 species
GACGAACGCUGGCGGCGUGCUUAACACAUGCAAGUCGAACGGAAAGGCCCUGCUUUUGUGGGGUGCUCGAGUGGCGAACGGGUGAGUAACACGUGAGUAACCUGCCCUUGACUUUGGGAUAACUUCAGGAAACUGGGGCUAAUACCGGAUAGGAGCUCCUGCUGCAUGGGGGGGGUUGGAAAGUUUCGGCGGUUGGGGAUGGACUCGCGGCUUAUCAGCUUGUUGGUGGGGUAGUGGCUUACCAAGGCUUUGACGGGUAGCCGGCCUGAGAGGGUGACCGGCCACAUUGGGACUGGGGUACGGCCCAGACUCCUACGGGAGGCAGCAGUGGGGAAUAUUGCACAAUGGGCGGAAGCCUGAUGCAGCAACGCCGCGUGCGGGAUGACGGCCUUCGGGUUGUAAACCGCUUUCGCCUGUGACGAAGCGUGAGUGACGGUAAUGGGUAAAGAAGCACCGGCUAACUACGUG